AAAGAAGCGUGUAAAAGAGAUAAAAAUGGAAUGUGAAUCAAAAUUCAUGAAAAAGAGAAGAAAUUAGAACACAAAAGAAUUUAGGAACAAAUAAGGGCGGAAGAAAAAUUUUCGAAGGGUACAGCUGGCGCAACAAAAACCGAAGCAACGCUCGAUGUUCUCGGUUUUCUGCGGAAAGUGUCAAAAGAGAGACUCGCCCAUCGUUCCACGAUGAUAUUAGAGAUAGAAAGAGAAAGAGAGAGGAGAUAAUAUAAGGAUACAUCGCACAUUAAUCUCCGCAGUAAAAUCCUUCACUCGCUUAUUACCGCAUAUGCAAACACUCGUAUUCGUGACGUCUCUGCAGACGCGUUUCUGCGUCUCUCAGCCGACGACGCGGCCUCCACGCGCGCAUAAAUCUCAUAAAUCGUCCGCAAUUCUGUCUGGCGAUUAAUGAUCUAAAAGUUCGAAGAGAGAAGACAAAGAAUAAUGACUACAAAUGAAUCUGUGCUGAAUUUUCAGCGGCAUCGUGAAAUACUCUGCGAUCAAUGGAUUUAAAUGCCCGGAAGGAUGCGCGGAUCAAUUACAACCCACCAAACACAACGUUACAUGGUGGCGCAGGAAGGAGAGAGAAUCUCGAAUUUGGCCAGCACGGUCCCUCACCAGAACGAGCGCCAGGUAGACGA
rnacentral:lncRNA from 13 species